GGGUGCUUGAGGCUGUCUGCCUCGGGCAUGCAGCCGUAAGGCAGACAGAGAAAAGCCCCAGUUAACAUUACGCGUCUUGCAGGACGCUUAACAUUAAUCUGAGGCCAAAUCUAUGACUUACAAACUUAGGUUAGCCUCUUACGUGCCGAAAGGCAAGGAGAAGUAGGCUAUGAAG
rnacentral:antisense_RNA from 1 species